rnacentral:rRNA from 1 species
UACGUAGGGGGCAAGCGUUGUCCGGAUUUAUUGGGCGUAAAGAGCGUGUAGGCGGCCAGACAGGUCAGCUGUGAAAACUCGAGGCUCAACCUCGAGACGUCGGUUGAAACCGUCUGGCUAGAGUCCGGAAGAGGAGAGUGGAAUUCCCGGUGUAGCGGUGAAAUGCGCAGAUAUCAGGAAGAACACCAAUGGCGAAGGCAGCUCUCUGGGACGGUACUGGACGCUGAAGACGCGAAAGCGUGGGGAGCGAACAGGG